AGGGAAGCGCACAGGUGGACUCGGGCUGGGGCUAGGAAGCCCUAGUAGGGGCUGGGGACGUGGCUCAGUGAUUAAGAGUGCACACGGCUCUUACAGAGAAACAGGAGGCAGACUUCCCUCCCUCCUCAAGGACUAGCACAAUAUCACAUGCCUGUUCCUAAGCCAAUCGCUGGCAAGGGAGCAAUAAGCAAAGGGCGUGUGGUGAAGGCAGGUGGCAGAGGCUGCCGUGGUGAUAUUUCACACAGCCCCGCCCGGCUGUUCAGCAUCCGAGAUAUUGAACAGCCCAGCUUCUAAGCCAAUGCACCAGAAACGAAUUGCUGGAGUGGAGCUGGAUCGUCGCUAUGGGAGAUGGUGGACAUAAAAUGUUCUGUGCAGAGAUGGCUUGGAGCAGGCCUUAGUGGAACCAUCAUCAAGUGUGGCAAUCCUUGAUGUAGGAACAACUCAAACUUCUGUAUAUUUAUUUCCAGUCCUUGUUAUCAGCAAACAUAAACUAUGAAUAUGCAGCUCAGUGAAUUAUUAGAAAUUAAAUACACCAGCCA